GCGGCUGUCGUACAACGGCCAGUAUACCAGCCUUCCAAGCUGGGGACGGGGGUUCGACACCCCUCAGCCGCUCCA
rnacentral:tRNA from 1 species